rnacentral:lncRNA from 1 species
UUUGGUUUUGCUUUUGUGUUUUGGUAAGUCAAACUUUUCUUUCAGAACAAUUUUAGCAUUACAGAAAAAUAGCAAAGGUAGUACAGGGAGUUGACACACAACCUACACUCAGUUUCCGCUAUUAUUAUCAUCUUACAUUAGUAUGAUGUAUUAAUUAAUGAACCAUAGUGAUAUAUUAUUAUCAACUAAAGUUCAUACUUUAUAUUUCCUUAGUUUUAUGUACUAUUCUUUUCCUGUUCCAGGAUCCCGUUGAUCCAAAACAAAUAGACUGCCAACUAUUUCUCCAGAAAAGAUGGGUUUAUUUGAGAUCAGCAGAGAAUUGUAAUUUGGGGUCUGUAAACAUGGUGAGCCAUGUGCAAGUCCAGCACAGUAAAGAAAGAACUCUGUUAUGGAAAGGAAAAGGAAGUUGAGAGGGCUGUAGUAAACAAAGAAGACAUGGCUUUUCCUUCGCUGAGUGUUGCCGAGUCUUUUUUCUACUUGUUGGGUUCUGUUACCAUCGUGGAGGAUGUGAGCUCCUCCUUCUGGUCUCCCAACUCUAUUUAAUCGAGGAUUCUGUUUAUGAUUUAUAGUCCCAUCCAAGAUACCACAUUCCAUUUAGCUAUCUUGUCUCCUUAGUUUUUCUGGACCAGAGAUUUGUCUCUUUUCCAGAAUUUAUUAAUGUAUUGAAUCAUUUAUUCAAUAUGAGUUCUAGCCUUUUCAUGGUCACAUUCUUAUGGGCUUAGUUGUAUCUUCCCCAAAUCCAUAUGUUGAAGCCCUCACCUACAGUACCUCAGAAUGUGACUAUUUGGAGGUAGAGCCUUUAAAGAGGUGGUAAAGUUAAAAUGAGGCAUUUUAGUGUAGGUCUUAAUCCAAUCUUACUGAUAUCCUUGUAAGAAGAGGAAAUUUGGACACAUAGAGACAUACCAGGGAUGUGUGUGCACAGAGGAAAGAACUCGUGAGGACGCAGCAAGAAGAUGGCCAUCUGCAAGCAAGAAGUAGGGCCUUAGAUAAACCAAACAUUGCUGACACCUUGAUUUAGCCUCCAGAACAGCAAGAAAACAAAUUUCUAUUGUUUAAGCUACCCAGUCUGUCGUAUUUCAUAACGAAGCCAAGCAAACUAAUACAGAGACCUCAUUUCCUUCUUAAAAUUUUAUUUUUUCAUGAAAUUUUGCUUUUAUUUUUAAAUUUUUAAUGAUUUUUAUUUUUUCUAUUAUAGUUGGUUUACAGUGUUCUGUCAGUUUUCUACUAUACAGCAAAGUGACCCAGUCAUAGAUAUAGAUAUAGAUCUAUCUAUCUAUUUACAUACAUUCUUUUUCUCACAUUAUCCUCCAUCAUGCUCCAUCACAAGUUACUAGAAAUAGUUCCCAGUGCUAUACAGCAGGAUCUCUUUGCUUAUCCAUUCCAAAGGCAAUAGUUCACAUCUAUUAAUGCCAUAUUCCCAGUCUGUCCCACUUCAUCCCUCUCCCCCUUGACAAUCACAAGUCUCUUCUCCAAGUCCAUGAGUUUUUCUUCUGUGGAAACGUUCGUUUGUGCCAUAUAUUAGAUUCCAGAUAUACGUGAUGUCAUAUGGUAUUUGUCUUUCUCUUUCUGACUUCACUUAGUAUGCUAGUCUCUAGUUCUUUCCAUGUUGAGAGAUCUCAUUUAUUGCUGGAUAUCCAUUUUGGAGAUAUAUUCAUUGAUCUAUUGAAAGAUAUCUUGGUGCCUCUAGUCUUUAGGGAUUGUAAACAUUUGGCUGCUAUAAACAUUCACAUGCAGUUUUUCCAUGGACAUAAAAUUUUAAACCAGCUGUGUUUCAUAGUUUUCUUUGUUCUUAAAUCUUCUCUGUUUGAAAUUAAUACACUGCUGCAGCUUCUUAAAAUACUGUGUUAUCAUAGCCUAUCCCUAUUUUUAACCUGUCUUUAUAUUUAAAGUGGUUUCUUGUAGAUAACAGAGAGUUCAUUUUUGUUUUUCUAGCCACUCUGAAAACUUCUGUCAUUUAAUUGGUAUAUUUAGACCAUUUAUAUUUGAAAUAAUUAUAGUUUUUUUUCUAUUUUUAUUUUUUUCCCACUGUACAGCAAGGGGAUCAAGUUAUCCUGACAUGUAUACAUUUUUCCCCCACCCUUUGUUCUGUUGCAAUAUGAGUAUCUAGACAAAAUUCUCAAUACUACUCAGCAGGAUCUCUUUGUAAAUCUAUUCUAAGUUGUGUCUGAUAAGCCUAAGCUCCUGAUCCCUCCCAUUCCCUCCCUCUCCCAUCAGGCAGCCACAAGUCUUGAAAUAAUUAUAGUUUUGUAUUUUAACCUUUAUACUUGCUUCAUAAGUGAUUGAUCUACUACCUUUACUAAAUAUUUACUCUUUCCAGUGAGAUUUUUAUUUUUAUACAUAUUCUUAAUAUUAAUUAGUGUCUUUUUAGCUUAGAUAAGAAGUCCUUUAAACAUUUCUCGUAAGGCUGGUUUAUUAUUGAUGAACUCCAUUAGCUUUUGCUUAUUUGGAAAAUUCAUAAUCUCUCCUUCAAUUAUGAAUGACAACCUUGCUGGAUAAAAAAUUCUUGGUUGGAAAUUUUUUCCCUCAGCACUUUGACUAUAUCAUACCAUACCUUUUUGGUUGGUAAAUUUCUGCUGAAAAAUCUGGUGAUGGGAUUUCCCUUGUAUAUAAGAAGUUGUUUUUUUUCUUGCUGAUUUUAUGAUUCUCUCUUUAUUUCUAAUUUUUACCAUUUUAGUUAUAAUGUGUCUUGAUGUGGUUCUCUUUGGGUUCAUCUUACUUGGAAGUCUCUUGGCUUUCUGAACCUGAGUGUCUAUUUCCCUCCCCAGAUUAAGGGCUUUUCAGCCAUUAUUUUUUCAAAUACUUUUUCUGUCCCUUUCUUUCUUGUCUUUCUGGGGGCCUAAUAAUGUAUAAUUCUGCUUGAUGUUGUCCCAGAGGUCCCUUAUAGUAUCUUCCCUUUUUAAAAUUCUUUUUCAUUUUGCUGCUCUUUCUGGUGAUUUUCAUUGCUUUGCCUUCCAGCUGGCUGAUUUGUUGUUUUACUUCAUCCAGUCAGCUGUUGUGCUUCUAAAGUGAUUCUUGCCGUUCAGUUAUAACUUCUGUUUUCUAAUUCUUAUAUUUUCUAUCUCUAUGUUGAAGCUCACUGUGUUCAUCUAUUCUUCACCUGAGGAUGGUAAGCAACUUUAUGACCAUUACUUUGAACUCUAUAGAUUGCUUCUCCAUUUCUUAAGAUCUUUUUCUGGGGAGUUGUCUUGUUCUUAGGUUUAGUUUGGGAUUUGUCUGUCUCUUCAUUUUUCCUACCUUUGAAUUUGUCUAUAUGUAUUAAAUGAAACAGGCUACCUCUCUCAGGCUUGAAGGAGUGUUCUUAUGUAGGAUAAGAUCUGUGGGACCUGGAAGUGAAGUCUUCCCUGGCCAUCAGAGUCAAGCCUGCAAAAGGUAUCCCACAUGUGGGCUGUGUGUUCCUGCCAGCUCUAUUUGUAUUUUAACCUUUAUACUUGCUUCUGUGUGGGGAGGGCAGUGCUGUGUAAUUGUUCAGCCCAUUUAUGAUGAAACUGCUGUGUGGGGUGGGUGGAAUGCAGAGUGCUUGCCUAGCUUUGUUGUGCUGCUGUUACUAUGUGAGGUGAGUGGGGGCUUGGGGUUCUCACCCAGAUGUUACCUGGGUUGUGGCAUGGGGUAGAGUAUAUGCACCCAUGCUAAUAGAUUGGAGAGGGCAACAAAAGUGACACCCACCAGUUCUGUCAUCCAUGAGUUAGGAUGAAAUUGCAAAAAUGGUACCCACCAGUGCUUUCAUCCCUGGUGAAAGUCCCAGAAGUUUCCUGCCUCUCCCUCUACAUCUGCUUUAAAAUAGGUUGACUUCUUUUGAUUAUGUUCUAGGCAUUUUUCAAAGUGUUGCUUUUGUGCUGAAUAUCAGUACAAAUGGGUCUGUGCAUGAGUCCUUUAAGAGUGGAUUCUCCAUUCUCAACAAUUUUAUGGUUCUUUUGGUCUUAAUCCCCAUUGAUUUUCAAAACCAAAUAUUUUGGGGACUUGUCUUCCUGAUGCUGAACCCAGAGUCAGGGUGGCUGAAGUGGGACUCAAUCCCUCCACUCCUCAAGGGAAGGUUUUACAUUUUUGGCACCUCUCUCAAUUGUCAGUCACUGCUCCUGAGGUGUCCUCUGGUAUGAGACUGUACCUCUGCUUCUCUUUCCUGUCUCCGUGCAUCUCUCUUACCAUUUAUUGUAGACAUGCUGUUCAUCUAUGUCUCAGGUCCUUUUCAGAGGAAAAUUAUCCCAUGUGUAGUUGUAUAUUUGUUGUGUCCCUAGGAGGAGGUGUGUUUGGGGUCUUCCUAUGCUCACCCUGAACCCCUCUCUCAAAAAACAAAAUAUUUUAUUUUAUCUACAUUUAUCUCUUCUCUGAGUUCAUGAUCUAAUGACCUAUAUCAUUUUACUUCACAGAAUGAAUAGUAAUGAAGUUAGUAUAUAUUUCUAUCUUUUUAGGCCCUUAUCUUUAUGAAAUGAUUUCCGUAGAUGACAUCAUUUUUCUUAGAUUAUCUGUUAUUUACUUCCUUUAAGGAAACUUAUACCACUCAUUUAAUUUGUUAAGUAAUAUAUUUUAUAUUCUGUAUGUGAAAUUUGAGAUAAUCAAUUUUACACACAUCUUUUUUUUCCCAGUAUAUAAUUUUGUAUUAUUUCCAGUUCAUUUUAAUUCUCCCCAUACCUCUUCUCUAUAACUCUGACUGUGUUUUGGCAGGCUUGUUUUCUUUACAUUACUUCUCUGACAGAUUUCAUUUUUUCUGUGAUUCUUUUUACUUCUUUUCUGAGCUCUGAAAGAUUAUGUUUCAUCUCACUGUUGUUCCACUAUUUUUUUUUUGAGUUUUUGUAAUUCUUCUUUGACCUCUUGGAUUAAUUCACUUGAUUAUUUUUAAUUUAUGGCUACAUUCUUGGCCUACAUUUUUAUCUGCUUAGUGGAAAUAUUUUUUUCAUGUUUUUACUGUUCCCUUCUUCUUAAAGAAUUUUUAAAUGACUUUGUGUUGUAUCCUUUUUUAAAAUUAUUGUAAUUCAUUUUUGAUCGAGGUGACAAAUCACAUUUGAGUCAGUUAAAUACACAAAACCUAUGUGGAAAGGCAAUAUUAUAAAUGGCAGAGAUGAAUAGGUAUGUGAGUUGUUUAGGCAUUACUUGCCCUCCUUUUCCCAUAUAACCUAUUGACUUUUUAGUUACCAAAAAAUGACUAGAAUUAAGACAUUUAGAAUGGAUAAGCAAUGAGGUUCUACUAUACAGUGCAAGAAACUAUAUCCAAUCACUUGGGAUAGAACAUGAUGGAGAUAAUAUGAGAAAAAGAAUGUAUAUAUAUAUAUAUGUGUGUGUGUGUGUGUGUAUAUGUACACACACACACACACACACACACACACACACAUAUGAGACUGGGUCACUAUGCUGUAUAGCAGAAACUGACACAACCUGUAAAUCUACUAUAUUCUAAUAAAAAUAGAAUUAAGAAAAGAAAAGAGAGGAAACUCAAAAAGAAAGAAACUCCUUAGACUCACCUGCAGACUCUUUUCAAUAAAGAUGCCAUGUCUGUGUUAUCUCAUUCUGUAAUAUUAAAUUUAACAUUGGAAAAUCCA